rnacentral:misc_RNA from 1 species
UAAUUGAGUUAUCUAAUCACAUUCUUGAAGGCCAAGUUUUACUAUCUCAACAUACAAAAUCCUCUCGUUUAUUGAAAGAACAAACACAAUCCUCUCACGCUUGUCCCAAGCUAUAGACAAAUCUGUGAACAGCCCCCACUGUUCAGCUAUAGUUAUCGAGCAAUCCCCUAAUAAGUUCGUUGCAGAACAUGCAAUCCAUGAGCCUGUGUGAGACCGCAAACACCAACUGAAGCCAUUUUCCUCCUUCCUUACAGGAAGGAGGUGGAGACCAACCUAUGUCCUAUAAGCCUCAUCCCUUUAGACACCCUGCCAUACUGACCCCUUCGCAGGCACCCCGCGCCUCCUCUACUUCCUUAGCAGAGGACAUUAUAACUGAAGAACAAUCCACUGGUCUCACAUUAUUCCUCUUCAAAAAUAAUUUGGUUUCUCCAUUUCCAAAGGAACCAGCAAGUCCCGGCCAAAAAGAAUGUUAUCAAGGGAUAAUCUCAUGAGAAAGAUGUUACCCAAAUCUAAACAUCAUUAGCAGUCAAGGUCCAUAGGAAUUACCCUAUUCCAAAUAUUCUUUGCCUAAAACCCUCUUUCUUUCCAUUAACCAUCAAACUCUAACCGCAAGAAACAACUCCAACGGCGAUCAAGAACCAAUCUUUUCUCAUUUUUCUUCUUGUAUUCUCUUUAAUUUGCUUAUGCUCUGCUCGCAACUUGCCUACCCCACAUCGUUUUUCUCCACCACAACAGGCUGGAGAUGGGUCCUUCUCCAAGAAAGCAUAGGCAUCUCCGCCAUGCACAUUCAGACCCUCAAGAACAGCAAGGUCAUCAUCUUUGAUCGAACCGACUUUGGCUUCUCCAACCUCUCUCUCCCUCAUGGCACUGCCGCUAUAACAAUGAGGCCGUCAGACCCAAAGAUUGCACUGCACAUUCCGUCCUAUACGACAUCGCUUCCAACAAAAUUCGUCCUCCCAACAUUCUAGCCAACACCUGGUGCUCUUCCGGCGCUGUCGAUACCAACGGUACUCUUAUCCAAACCGGAGGCGACGAGAAAGGUGAGCGCGUAAUUCGUGCUUUCAUACCCUGUGAUGACAAAUCUGGCGACUGGGUUGAGCUCUCUACUCCCCUCUUGAGCCGGAGAUGGUACGCCAGUUGUCAGAUACUUCCUGAUGGUCGCAUCAUUAUUGUUGGUGGCAGAACGGUUUUUACCUAACCCUUUGUUUAUCCUUAACUUGGCAAGGAAACGAGGAAGAAUUAAAGAGAGGCA